rnacentral:rRNA from 1 species
GGCGAGUGAAGCGGCAACAGCUCAAAUUUGAAAUCUGGCCCCCGGGUCCGAGUUGUAAUUUGUAGAGGAUGCUUUUGGUGCGGUACCUUCCGAGUGCCCUGGAACGGGACGCCAUAGAGGGUGAGAGCCCCGUCUGGUUGGACGCCAAUCCUUUGUAAAGCUCCUUCGACGAGUCGAGUAGUUUGGGAAUGCUGCUCUAAAUGGGAGGUAUAUGUCUUCUAAAGCUAAAUAUUGGCCAGAGACCGAUAGCGCACAAGUAGAGUGAUCGAAAGAUGAAAAGCACUUUGAAAAGAGAGUUAAAAAGUACGUGAAAUUGUUGAAAGGGAAGCGCUCAUGACCAGACUUGGGCUUGGUUGAUCAUCCAGGGUUCUCCCUGGUGCACUCUUCCGGCCCAGGCCAGCAUCGGUUCGCUGUGGGGGACAAAGGCUUCGGGAAUGUGGCUCCCUCGGGAGUGUUAUAGCCCGUUGCGCAAUACCCUGCGGCGGACCGAGGUUCGCGCAUUCGCAAGGAUGCUGGCGUAAUGGUCAUCAGCGACCCGUCUUGAAACACGGACCAAGGAGUCGUCUUCGUAUGCGAGUGUUCGGGUGUCAAACCCCUACGCGGAAUGAAAGUGAACGCAGGUGAGAGCUUCGGCGCAUCAUCGACCGAUCCUGAUGUUCUCGGAUGGAUUUGAGUAAGAGCAUACGGGGCCGGACCCGAAAGAAGGUGAACUAUGCCUGUAUAGGGUGAAGCCAGAGGAAACUCUGGUGGAGGCUCGCAGCGGUUCUGACGUGCAAAUCGAUCGUCAAAUAUGGGCA